rnacentral:rRNA from 1 species
AUUGAACGCUGGCGGCAGGCCUAACACAUGCAAGUCGAACGGAAACAGGAAGAAGCUUGCUUCUUUGCGGACGAGUGGCGGACGGGUGAGUAAUGUCGGGGAAACUGCCUGAUGGAGGGGGAUAACUACGGGAAACGGUAGCUAAUACCGCAUAACGUCGCAAGACCAAAGAGGGGGAGCGUCGGGCCGCUUGCCAUCGGCUGUGCCCAGAUGGGAUUAGCUAGUAGGUGGGGUAACGGCUCACCUAGGCGACGAUCCCUAGCUGGUCUGAGAGGAUGAUCAGCCACACUGGAACUGAGACACGGUCCAGACUCCUACGGGAGGCAGCAGUGGGGAAUCUUGCACAAUGGGCGCAAGCCUGAUGCAGCCAUGCCGCGUGUAUGAAGAAGGCCUUCGGGUUGUAAAGUACUUUCAGCGGGGAGGAAGGGAGUAAAGUUAAUCCCUUUGCUCAUUGACGUUACCCGCACAAGAAGCCCCGGCUAACUCCGUG